rnacentral:rRNA from 1 species
GGGCUUGACAUCCCACGAACCUGCCUGAAAGGGCGGGGUGCCCGCAAGGGAGCGCGGAGACAGGUGGUGCAUGGCUGUCGUCAGCUCGUGACGUGAGAUGUUGGGUUAAGUCCCGCAACGAGCGCAACCCUCACCCCUAGUUGCCACCGGGUCAUGCCGAGCACUCAAGGGGAACUGCCAGCGUCAAGCUGGAGGAAGGCGGGGAUGACGUCAAGUCAUCAUGCCCCUUACGCCCUGGGCUACACACGUGCUACAAUGGCCGGUACAAAGGGAUGCGAGACCGCGAGGUGGAGCUAAUCCCAAAAAGCUGGUCUAAGUUCAGAUUGCAGUCUGCAACUCGACUGCAUGAAGGAGGAAUCGCUAGUAAUCGCGCAUCAGCCCGGCGCGGUGAAUACGUUCCCGGGCCUUGUACACACCGCCCGUCACACCACGAAAGCUGUCUGUACUCGAAGUCGCUGAG